rnacentral:rRNA from 1 species
AACGAACGCUGGCGGCGUGGCUAAGACAUGCAAGUCGAACGGACUGUCCAAUUUAUUGAACAGUUAGUGGCGAAAGGGUUAGUAACGGAUGGGUAACGUACCCUGUGCUUUGGGAUAGCGUCAGUUACUUCGGUAACUUCCCGAAAGGGGCGGUAAUACCAAAUAAUAUCAUUUGUCGAUAGGCAGAUGAUCAAAGAUUUAUCGGCACGGGAGCGGCCUGUCUCCUAUCAGCUUGUUGGUGAGGUAAUGGCUCACCAAGGCAUCGACGGGUAGCGGGACUGAGAGGUUGACCCGCAACAUCGGGACUGAGACACUGCCCGGACCUCCACGGAGGGCUGCAGUAACGGAUAUUGUGCAAUGGGCGAAAGCCUGACACAGCGACGCCGCGUGUAGGAGGAAGUCUUUCGGGAUGUAAACUACUGUCAGGGGGAAGAAAGUGCGCUUCGGCGUAUGAUCUAAC